UACGGAGGGUGCAAGCGUUAUCCGGAUUCACUGGGUUUAAAGGGUGCGUAGGUGGGCAAGUAAGUCAGUGGUGAAAUCUCCGGGCUUAACCCGGAAACUGCCAUUGAUACUAUUUGUCUUGAAUACUGUGGAGGUCAGGCGGAAUAUGUCAUGUAGCGGUGAAAUGCUUAGAUAUGACAUAGAACACCAAUUGCGAAGGCAGCUGGCUACACAAAUAUUGACACUGAGGCACGAAAGCGUGGGAUCAAACAGG
rnacentral:rRNA from 1 species